rnacentral:rRNA from 1 species
AGUGAACGCUGGCGGUAGGCCUAACACAUGCAAGUCGAACGGCAGCACAGUAAGAGCUUGCUCUUACGGGUGGCGAGUGGCGGACGGGUGAGGAAUACAUCGGAAUCUACUUUUUCGUGGGGGAUAACGUAGGGAAACUUACGCUAAUACCGCAUACGACCUACGGGUGAAAGCAGGGGAUCCUCGGACCUUGCGCGAUUGAAUGAGCCGAUGUCGGAUUAGCUAGUUGGCGGGGUAAAGGUCCACCAAGGCGACGAUCCGUAGCUGGUCUGAGAGGAUGAUCAGCCACACUGGAACUGAGACACGGUCCAGACUCCUACGGGAGGCAGCAGUGGGGAAUAUUGGACAAUGGGCGCAAGCCUGAUCCAGCCAUACCGCGUGGGUGAAGAAGGCCUUCGGGUUGUAAAGCCCUUUUGUUGGGAAAGAAAAGCAGCAGGUUAAUACCCCGCUGUUCUGACGGUACCCAAAGAAUAAGCACCGGCUAACUUCGUG